rnacentral:rRNA from 1 species
AUUGAACGCUGGCGGCAGGCCUAACACAUGCAAGUCGAACGAGUGGCGGACGGGUGAGUAAUGUCUGGGAAACUGCCCGAUGGAGGGGGAUAACUACUGGAAACGGUAGCUAAUACCGCAUACCAUCGGAUGUGCCCAGAUGGGAUUAGCUAGUAGGUGGGGUAAAGGCUCACCUAGGCGACGAUCCCUAGCUGGUCUGAGAGGAUGACAUGCCAAACUGGAACUGAGACAAGGUCCAGACUCCUAAGUGAGGCAGCAGUGGGGAAUAUUGCACAAUGGGCGCAAGCCUGAUGCAGCCAUGCCGCGUGUAUGAAGAAGGCCUUCGGGUUGUAAAGUACUUUCAGCGGGGAGGCGUUACUCGCAGAAGAAGCACCGGCUAACUCCGUGCCAGCAGCCGCGGUAAUUC